UACGUAGGGGGCGAGCGUUGUCCGGAAUGACUGGGCGUAAAGGGCGUGUAGGCGGCCGAUUAAGUCUGGAGUGAAAGUCCCGCUUUCAAGGUGGGAAUUGCUUUGGAGACUGGUUGGCUUGAGUGCGGAAGAGGUAAGUGGAAUUCCCAGUGUAGCGGUGAAAUGCGUAGAGAUUGGGAGGAACACCAGUGGCGAAGGCGACUUACUGGGCCGCAACUGACGCUGAGGCGCGAAAGCGUGGGGAGCGAACAGGAUUAGAUACCCUGGUAGUCCACGCUGUAAACGAUGAAUGCUAGGUGUAGGGGGUAUCGACCCCUCCUGUGCCCGAGUAAACGCAAUAAGCAUUCCGCCUGGGGAGUACGGCCGCAAGGUUGAAACUCAAAUGAAUUGACGGGG
rnacentral:rRNA from 1 species